GGUUCGAUCCUGGCCUUUACUGAACGCUGGCGGGAUGUUUUCUACACAUGCAAGUCGAACGGCAGCACGGACUUCGGUCUGGUGGCGAGUGGUGAACGGGUGAGUAAUGUAUCGGAACGUGCUCAGUAGCGGGAUAAUCACGCGAAAGGUAGCUAAUACCGCAUAUUGCCUUCGGGGAAAGUGGGGACUCGGGCCGCAUCAUUAGAGCGGUCGAUAUCGGAUUAGCGAAUAAAGGGUAAAUGCCCACCAAGGCGACGAUCCGUGGCUGGUCGGAGAGGACGACCAGCCACAUUCUAGAUCGACACGGCCCAGACUCCUACGGGAGGUGGGCAGUGGGGAAUUUUGGAUAAUGGGGGAAACCCUGAUCCAGCCAUCCCGCGUGUGCGAUGAAGGCCUUUCGGCUAGAAAGCACUUUUUUGGCAGGAAAGAAAUGGCACGGAGCAAUAAUUCUCGCAACUGAUCGCGUUCGCAGAAUACAACCGGCUAACUUGAUGUGCCAGCAGCCGCGGUAAUACGUAGGGGUGGGCGCGUUAAUCGGAAUUACUGGGCGUAAAGCGUGCGCAGGCGGUUCGGAAAGAAAGACAGCGAAACCGAGAGCUAACUUUGGAACUGCAUUUUUAACUACCGAGCUAGGAGGUACGAGGGAGGUGGAAUUCCGCGUAGCAGUGAAAUGCGUAGAUAUGCGGAGGAACACCGAUGGCGAAGGCAGCCUCCUGGGAUAACAAUUGACGCUCAUACACGAAAGUGGAGCAAACAGGAUUAGAUACUCCUGGUAUCCACGCCUAAACGAUAACUAGGCUGUUGGGGCUCGCUUCGGUAGCAGCUAUCAUGCGAAGUUGAACGCCUGGGGAGUACGGUCGCAAGAUUAAAAACUCAGUAGUCUGAUGGGACCCGCACGCGGUGGAUGAUGAUUGUACCUGAUGCAACGCGAAAAACCUUAUUCUACCCGACAUGUCUGGAAUCCCGAAGAGAUUUGGUGCCUCGCAGACCAACACAGGUGCUGCACGGCUGUCGUCAGCUCGUGUCGUGAGAUGUUGGGUUGUCCUGCAACGAGCGCAACCCUGUCAUUAGUUGCUACGAAAGGGCACCUGAAUGAGACUCGUGACAAACCGGAGGAAGGUGGGAGAUGGACGUCAAGUCCUCAUGGCCCUUAUGGGUAGGGCUUCACUGCCACAGAAUGGUCGGGACAGAGGGUCGCCAACCCGCGAGGGAGCCAAUCCGCAGAAACCCGAUCGUAGUCCGGAUCGCAGUCUGCAACUCGACUGCAGUCGGAAUCGCUAGUAACUGUGGAUCAGCAUGUCGCGGUGAAUACGUUCCCGGGUCUUGUACACACCGCCCGUCACACUACGGGAGUGGGUUUUACCAGAAGUAGAAGAGCCUUGAAUCUGUAAGGAGGGCGAUUACCACGGUAGGAUUCAUGACUGGGGUGAAGUCGCAACAAGGUAA
rnacentral:rRNA from 1 species